UUUAAUGAGUACUUUUUGGGCUGGACAACAUAUUAAUUUAUCCAUUAUCAAAGUAUCCUUUGUGAUUCAUAUUUAAAUUAAGAUUGUGUGUGUGUG